ensembl:lncRNA
AUCCUGCAAAAUCCCAGUGACCCCAUGAUCUCUGGAGCCGUAACUCCUCCGCUCUUCCUCCAGACCACUCCCUCCUGCAGACUCCUGGGCGUGCUCCUGCUGCGAAGCCUUAGUCCUGGCUCCUUCCUUCCUCCUGGAAUGCUGUUGGCUCAGGUAUGCAUCACAGGAACAGCUCCUGCCUGCCCCCAAACCGCUGAUCCCAUCUCACUUCAGUGAGGCCGUGCUGACCUCAUCACUGACCUAUUCAUGUUCCAACCCGCUGACCUCCCGGGACUCUGGUACUCCUCUCCAACUCUUCUUUUUCAUUCUCCCAUAAAUACCAAUGUCUAACUUCUUAGGCAAUUUCUUUAUUAUAAUUGUCCUUUGUUUUCAACUUCUUCUCACUAGAAAAGAAAGCUCUACAAUGCUCAGAAUCUUUGUUGCGUUCUCUGAAAAAUGCCAGGCUCUGGAAGAGGGCCUGCCUCCCAGCAGGCACAGGGUUUUGCUCUGUUGCCCAGACUGGAGUGCAGUGCCAUGAUCUCAGCUUACUGCAGCCUCCACCUCCCAAGUUCCAGUGAUUCUCCUGCCUCAGCCUCUCGAGUAGCUGGAACUAUAGUAAAGAGUUGGUUUUCAAGAGCCCUUAGGAAAUGCCCUCACUACCUCCUCGUGGGCCAGCUCAGUGCGGAGCCAUCAGAAGAACCACCUUCUAGUUCGUGAGCACUUAGAGUCUGCAGACCCAGAAGAAAUGUAAAAAGGCGACUGAAGACCAGCUCAUAAGAAAUAUGUGACGAAGCCACAGGACAAAUAUUUUAGCAAAGUCAUGCUCAGGGGUGUGGGCAUGUAAAGACGAGCUCCCAUAACGUGUAGCCCCAUCAAAGGCAAAACCUGACUCCCUGAGAAGGCAAAUAUCAAACUCUCUGAUUGCCAAGUAUGGAGAGGACACAACAUCAUGAAGCUAAGUCCCAAGAACCCUCAUGGCCCCACCUGCCAGUGCUCAAGAGGCAGGUGCCCAGGUGUGGAGAUGCCCAGAGUGCAGACAGUAUAAGGCAGCAAAUGCACGAGAAAGCCGAGGAAUCCAUGCCCCCCAGUUCAAUAGAACCAUCCUUCAUAGUAGGAUUUGGGGAAAUCUGAAGCCAAGCGCAACAACUAGAGAAAACAUUCCCAAGGCCCCCUUCUCCAGCGGAGGCCAGGAAAAUCCUAUUUGGUGGGAUCAUUAUUAAGACAAGAGAAACAGCAAAAUCAAGCUUAGGGUCCAGGUGUUGCCAGUCUUCCUUCCUUCCUUCCUUCCUUCCUUCCUUCCUUCCUUCCUUCUUCCUUCCUCUCUUCCUCUUUCCUUACCUCCUUCCCUGCCUCCCUCCCUCCCUCUCUCCCUCUCUCCCUCCCUCCCUCUCUCUCUCUCUCUCCCCCCCUCUCCCUCACUCCUUCCUUCCUUCCUUCCUUUUCUUUUUCUUUUUCUUUUUAUUGAGACAGAGUCUCACUCUCACCCAGGCUGGAGUGCAGUGGUGUGGUCUGGGCUCACUACAACCUCUGCCUCCCAGGUUUGGGCAGGUCUCUGCCUUGGCCUCCUGAGUAGCUGGGAUUACAGGUGCCUACCACCAUGCUAAUCUUUUUGUAUUUUCAGUAGAGACAGGGUUUCACCAUCUUGGCCAGGCUGCUGUUGAACUCAUGACCUCCUGAUCCACCCACCUCAGUCUCCCAAAGUGCUGGGAUUACAGGCACCCAGCGAUGUUGCCAAUUUCUGUACCCACGUGGAGGGUGUCCCUGUCACACAGCCCAGGGGAGGAUUGGGCAACUCCCAGCAUACCUCAGGUAAGGAAUCAAUGAAGUGUCAAGAAUGUCCUGAUUGUUUUGCAAAGAGAUCAGCUCCUCAACUUUGCUCUCUUUCUUGAAGCAUUUUCUUUCUCUUUGGUUGUCUCCAUAGUCCCUUGCUUGCCAUUCUUCUCUGGCAAAGGUCCCUGCUUAGCCAACUGCUCUGGGUCUGUCCCACUUCCCUGGGCCACCAAGAUGCUUCUGGAGAAGAUGUGUGGCUGGCACUACCAAGUCCUGCAGCUUAAGUUGGAGGAAGACACAAGUGCCCCAGAUGGGCUUGUGAGUGGAGCGGGGCGGGGACUUUGGUCUGCAGGAUCUUCCUUUGUCCUACAUUCCUGAGCCCUGCAGGUGGGCAGAGAUUCUCAGAGGCUUGGGAAAAGGCUGCCCUCAAACACAACUGGAUUCAUCUCCAGGAUGUCAACCCAGAUCUGUUUUCUCUAAAAACCCAUAAUCUUUGUAUGUCAUCACACUGAAAACAAAGGAAGAUUUAUUGAUUGAAUGAAUGGCAUGAUGGAGUGGAAAUUUCAUUAAUCAUUUUAAUUCAUCGUGCUUCAUACAUCCUGUCUCAUUUGAACAUCACAACUAGAUCCAUGAAUUUUGUGUAUCGGAUGGGGAGUCUCCAACAGCUUAAGAAUGAGAACUCUUAUUGCAGCUGACAAAGCCAGCUUAAUGGGAGAAUUUAUUAUAAGAAUACAGGGGACUCUCAGGGUACCCACAUUCAGAGAGGAGAGCAGCAUGUUCUCAUUUUUCUUUUGCAAAGCUCACUCUUGCAAAGGCUGUGGGUGAGAAGUAGACUGGAGGGGGUGAGAGCAGAGACAUAGGCCAGUGGGGAUCCUUUUCUUUUCUGCUGCCUCUCUUGCAAAUCAAUCCUGAAGCUAAGUUUCAUUGAACUAGACAUGGCUUUGGCUUGAAACCAAGAUAAAAUGAGCACUCAUGGAGAAAAGAUCUCCUAUACUUUCUGUCAACUUUUGUCUGAUAGUUGCCGAAUUUCAAUGCUAUUUUUUUUUUGCGGGGGGAAGCAAAACGGACUCUCUCUCUAUAAACUCAAAACAUGUGGAGUAUAGGUGGAAUUUUAAUGACACCUCAUAGAAUGAUCAUGAAUUUAGAUAGAAAUUCUCUUUUUACUCUUUGAUAUCAAUAUUCUUUUGUUUCAGCCUUGCCUUUGGAUCUGAAAUCUUAGGAAAUACAGUGGAAAGAAUUCUGAGUUACGAAUCAUUAAACACUGAGUCUGCUCCAGCUCUGCUUCCUGUUACUUGGAUAACCCUUGACAAGCAAACUCAGCCUCCCUGGCUCUGAUCCAUCUUCUGUUAAAUGAGGGAUUUGGAUUGACACAAGAACUUCUCAAACCUUAGUGAAUCUUCUGGGGAUGUUGUUAAAAUGCAGAUUCACCAGGCCUGGGGUGGGGCCUGAGACUCUGCAUUUCCAACAAGCUCCCAGGUGAUACUGACGCUGCCGGCCCGGAAUCACACUCCAGUCAGGCCACCCUCCAAGGUGCCAUCCUGCUGUAAGCUAUAACAGCUACUAAAUAAGGAAAAGCAUGACAUCAACAAUGCAUAACAAUCAAUAUUUAUUUUAGAAAACAAAUACUGCUUUUUCUUUUUUUUUAAACAGGGCCUCAUUUUGUCACUCAGGCUGGAGUACAGUGGCAUGAACAUGGCUCACUGCAGCCUCGACCUCCAGGGCUCAGGUGAUCAUCCCCCAGGUAGCUGGGACUACAGGCAUGGACCACCAUGCUUGGCUAAUUUUUGUAUUUUUUAUAGAGACAAGGUUUGCCAUGUUGCCCAGGCUGUUACAAAUAUAGCUUUACUUUUCUGUUUGUAAAAGUAAUGCAUGCUUAUGAAAACUGUUCUAAAAAAAUCCCAUCAUGUAUAAAAUGCAAUGACAGUAAAAAUCAUCUCAAGUUAAAUACCACUUGAACUGUCUUGUCUCUUGGCUCUGAAGAACACAAAUGCUAGGCUUCAGUGUUGGCGUUAUAUUACCUUGUCUUUCAAAAUCAGAUCAUGAAACUGGUAUCGUUUUCAAUUUGCUGCCAAUCACUUAUGCAUUGACUGAUUUGAAUUCAGUUCCUGCUGUUGUGGUAGAUUUGCUUCUGUGUUCUAUGAUUUGAAGUUGCUUAUUGCCUGGAUUCAGGAGAGGGUAGUGGAUGGCAUUUCAGGGUCAUCCCCAGCCAGGCAGAAUUGACCUGAAGGUGUCUCUAAGAGAAGAAAGCGAAGUAAAUAUCAAGAACAAUUUUUAGCAGAAAAUUCAAUGUUAAGAGCAUUGAGAGCUAAUCAAUAGAACAGAAGAUUCUGCAAAUACGUCCAUCUUUUGCAAAUAACAGGUCAUAACCAUUGUUGGCAAAGGAAGAAAUUCCGCUUAUUCCUCAGUGAUAUGUCACACCUGUUUGAGUGUACUUGAAACAGUUGUAAUAAGAGAGCCUUAAGAGUUUGUUGGUCGUAAAAACAUAUGACAUUUAAAAAACUUGAUGGGAUUUUUAUUGACAUAUAUAACUAUUAAAUAAAAUAUUAUAGAUCCCAAAUAGCAAACUAACUUUAGUAUUUACAAUUUUCCUUUGUCUCAUCUAA